UACAGAGGUCUCAAGCGUUGUUCGGAUUCAUUGGGCGUAAAGGGUGCGUAGGCGGCGCGGUUAAGUCGGGUGUGAAAUCUCGGAGCUUAACUCCGAAACUGCAUUCGAUACUGCCGUGCUUGAGGACUGGAGAGGAGACGUGGAAUUUACGGUGUAGCGGUGAAAUGCGUAGAUAUCGUAAGGAAGACCAGUGGCGAAGGCGGGUCU
rnacentral:rRNA from 1 species